GUUAGUUACUUAUUGCAGUUCUUGUCACAUACAUAUUUUCAAAUCAUUUCAAGGUGCUAAAUUAUCAAUCCUGUAAAGAUGGCAAAUAAUUUCUGCAUCUCACAAUAAAUAAAUAUUAAUCUACAGUAUCUGUAACUUCUCCAAGAAUCGAUGAAUGUAGGGUGAAACAAAAAAACAAACAAACAAGCAGAAGUAGGUUUCCUGUCCUGAACUUGCC